CCGGGCACGGCCCUCCAACCCGCCCCGGGCUACCGCUCCCAGGUCUCGGGUGAGGAAACUCAGGCAACGCGAGGUGACAUGGUUUACCCAGGGCCACACCAGAGGUCCGGCAACGAUUGCAGGACAGCCCAGGGCGGUAGCUCAGCGGGUCCGCCAAGGAGGGCAGCUUCCAGAUUCCGGGGUCAGGUCGGGCUCAACGGUCUGACCCCGGCCGCGGCCGCUCAGCCGGGGGGGCCCGUCUCCUGUCCGAGUCUCAGUUUCCCGGUCUGUAAAAUAGGUGACCUGGGGCAGAGCUGUCCCCGCUCCUGCUGGAGCAGGCCUGGCUUUUCCAGCUCCGCUGCGCACUGGAGGGGUAGGAGAGCCUGGGGCUUUCUCAGUCAGCAAUUGCGGGGAGGAUUUUGGUGUUUCUGGGCUGCUCCUCCAAGCGCGCGCUGCAAUUGGAGAUGCUGCAGUCUGCCCUGGAAAGGGGCCGGAAGUGCAGUCUUCAGCUCUAAGACUGCCCUAUUCCCGGAGGCCCACGCUCUCCAACUCUCUGCCUCAGUUCUCCAUCUGUCAACUCCUCCACUGCCUGAAGAUGCCCUGUUGGCUGCCUUAUUGUGAGUGACCGCUGUCCGAGGGCUGAAUGAAUGCAUACAAGCAGCUUGUUGAACACUUGCACAGUUGGAGCUGACCACGUGGAGAGACAAAGGCAGGUGACAAGACCACCAAGGAAAAUGUUCAAAAAAGGGAUUGGGAUGAUGAAUGCACAACUAACAUGACGGUGCUGUGAACAGUGGAUUGUACACCAUGGAUGAUCGUAUGGUAACAGAUGCCGAACCCUAGAUGGAUCCCGGCUUCGGAAAAGAAUAUCCUGCUGAGGAAGAUGCCGAAUUUUGCUGUUUUUUAAGAAAAAAAUUGGUCAUUUGUAAUUGCCAAAAAAGUUUAUUGCUGUUUUCUUAUUCAACUAUGCAAAACUAGAGUUUCUUAAAACCGCUCCCAGUCUCUUUGAAGGAACCCGGGUCAGAGGGCAGCUACAGCUAGUGUGUGAACCUCAGCUGUGGUUUCAAAGAAGCCACAUCUAUGAAAACUGCUAACUUGGGACAGAACGGCCCCACUACCCAGAGUCACACCUGUCUCCGGUGUC